rnacentral:rRNA from 1 species
UACGUAGGGGGCAAGCGUUGUCCGGAAUCAUUGGGCGUAAAGCGCGUGUAGGCGGCUCGAUAAGUCUGCUGUGAAAGUCCAGGGCUCAACCCUGGGAUGCCGGUGGAUACUGUCGAGCUCGAGUCCGGAAGAGGCGAGUGGAAUUCCUGGUGUAGCGGUGAAAUGCGCAGAUAUCAGGAGGAACGCCAAUGGCGAAGGCAGCUCGCUGGGACGGUACUGACGCUGAGACGCGAAAGCGUGGGGAGCAAACAGG